rnacentral:lncRNA from 1 species
AGGAAUUGUUGGGAUUUGCUUUAUGCUGUGUUUAUGAAUCCAACAAUGGAUUUGUCUUUGAGUCUCGGUAUGAAUCAACUGAUACAUCUGAUAAUGAGCCUGACAAUGGAUCUGCAUAUGAAUCUCAGCAUGAAUCAGCUGAUACAUCUAAUAAUGAACCUGACAAUGGAUCUGCCUAUAAAUCAGCUGAUACAUCUGAUAAUGAACCUGACAAUGGAUCUGCCUAUGAAUCUACCUAUGAAUCUCAGAAUGAAUCAGCUGAUACUUCUAAUAAUGAACCCACCAAUGGAUCUGCCUAUGAAUCUGAAAAUGAAACAGCUCAUACAUCUGAUAAUGAAGAACCAGUGGAGUUCUAUUGUAAUUUGAGUAUCCGAGGAAAUAAUCAAUCAACAGUCGUGGAUUCUUUCAAAUUGGGUUCUUACUGUGC